rnacentral:rRNA from 1 species
CAGUAGCCGCGGUAAUACGUAGGGUGCGAGCGUUAAUCGGAAUUACUGGGCGUAAAGCGUGCGCAGGCGGUUCGUUAAGACAGAUGUGAAAUCCCCGGGCUUAACCUGGGAACUGCAUUUGUGACUGACGGGCUAGAGUAUGGCAGAGGGGGGUAGAAUUCCACGUGUAGCAGUGAAAUGCGUAGAGAUGUGGAGGAAUACCGAUGGCGAAGGCAGCCCCCUGGGCCAAUACUGACGCUCAUGCACGAAAGCGUGGGGAGCAAACAGGAUUAGAUACCCCGGUAGUCCCUGUCUCUUAUAC